rnacentral:lncRNA from 1 species
CAAAGAACACCAUCGUUUUUCAGCAGCCGGGACUGGGAAACUGGUCAGAGUUGAGGGAAAGAUGGAUGGUGCUAAAUACAGGGAUAUUCUUGAGCAAAACCUGUACCACUCUGUGCGUGAUUUGAGGCUAGGACAGAGGUUCACCUUCCAGCAGGACAAUGACCCCAAACACACUGCUAAAGCAACACUUGAGUGGUUUAAGGGGAAACAUGAAACGGUGUUGGAAUGGCCUAGUCAAAGCCCAGACCUCAAUCCAAUAGAAAAU